rnacentral:rRNA from 1 species
UACGUAGGGGGCAAGCGUUGUCCGGAUUAUUGGGCGUAAAGAGCGUGUAGGCGGCUUGGUAGGUCCGCUGUGAAAACUCGAGGCUCAACCUCGAGAUGUCGGCGGAAACCACUUGGCUAGAGUCCGGAAGAGGAGAGUGGAAUUCCUGGUGUAGCGGUGAAAUGCGCAGAUAUCAGGAAGAACACCCGUGGCUAAGGCGGCUCUCUAGUACGGGUACCUGACGCUGAGACGCGAAAGCGUGGGGAGCGAACAGG